UGUGAGGGUUGCUGGAGGUAUCAGAAGUGCGAAUGCUGACAUAAGUAACGAUAAAGCGGGUGAAAAGCCCGCUCGCCGGAAGACCAAGGGUUCCUGUCCAACGUUAAUCGGGGCAGGGUGAGUCGACCCCUAAGGCGAGGCCGAAAGGCGUAGUCGAUGGGAAACGGGUUAAUAUUCCCGUACUUGGUGUUACUGCGAAGGGGGGACGGAGAAGGCUAUGUUGGCCGGGCGACGGUUGUCCCGGUUUAAGCGUGUAGGUGUGUGUUCCAGGUAAAUCCGGUUCACUUUAACACUGAGGCGUGACGACGAGGCACUACGGUGCUGAAGCAACAAAUGCCCUGCUUCCAGGAAAAGCCUCUAAGCAUCAGGUAACAUCAAAUCGUACCCCAAACCGACACAGGUGGUCAGGUAGAGAAUACCAAGGCGCUUGAGAGAACUCGGGUGAAGGAACUAGGCAAAAUGGUGCCGUAACUUCGGGAGAAGGCACGCUGACACGUAGGUGAAGUGAUUUACUCAUGGAGCUGAAGUCAGUCGAAGAUACCAGCUGGCUGCAACUGUUUAUUAAAAACACAGCACUGUGCAAACACGAAAGUGGACGUAUACGGUGUGACGCCUGCCCGGUGCCGGAAGGUUAAUUGAUGGGGUCAGCGCAAGCGAAGCUCCUGAUCGAAGCCCCGGUAAACGGCGGCCGUAACUAUAACGGUCCUAAGGUAGCGAAAUUCCUUGUCGGGUAAGUUCCGACCUGCACGAAUGGCGUAAUGAUGGCCAGGCUGUCUCCACCCGAGACUCAGUGAAAUUGAACUCGCUGUGAAGAUGCAGUGUACCCGCGGCAAGACGGAAAGACCCCGUGAACCUUUACUAUAGCUUGACACUGAACAUUGAGCCUUGAUGUGUAGGAUAGGUGGGAGGCUUUGAAGUGUGGACGCCAGUCUGCAUGGAGCCGACCUUGAAAUACCACCCUUUAAUGUUUGAUGUUCUAACGUGGACCCGUUACCCGGGUUGCGGACAGUGUCUGGUGGGUAGUUUGACUGGGGCGGUCUCCUCCUAAAGAGUAACGGAGGAGCACGAAGGUUGGCUAAUCCUGGUCGGACAUCAGGAGGUUAGUGCAAUGGCAUAAGCCAGCUUGACUGCGAGCGUGACGGCGCGAGCAGGUGCGAAAGCAGGUCAUAGUGAUCCGGUGGUUCUGAAUGGAAGGGCCAUCGCUCAACGGAUAAAAGGUACUCCGGGGAUAACAGGCUGAUACCGCCCAAGAGUUCAUAUCGACGGCGGUGUUUGGCACCUCGAUGUCGGCUCAUCACAUCCUGGGGCUGAAGUAGGUCCCAAGGGUAUGGCUGUUCGCCAUUUAAAGUGGUACGCGAGCUGGGUUUAGAACGUCGUGAGACAGUUCGGUCCCUAUCUGCCGUGGGCGCUGGAGAACUGAGGGGGGCUGCUCCUAGUACGAGAGGACCGGAGUGGACGCAUCACUGGUGUUCGGGUUGUCAUGCCAAUGGCACUGCCCGGUAGCUAAAUGCGGAAGAGAUAAGUGCUGAAAGCAUCUAAGCACGAAACUUGCCCCGAGAUGAGUUCUCCCUGAGACUUAGAGUCUCCUGAAGGAACGUUGAAGACGACGACGUUGAUAGGCCGGGUGUGUAAGCGCAGCGAUGCGUUGAGCUAACCGGUACUAAUGAACCGUGAGGCUUAACCUUACAACGCCG
rnacentral:rRNA from 1 species